rfam:Geodermatophilus saharensis strain DSM 45423 genome assembly, contig: Ga0070566_101
GUCGGUCCUCGGUGGUGGCCCCCGGGCAUGCCCCUCCACGGGAGGGGGAACGACUCCCGCGGGCUUCGAUCGAAGACCGGU